rnacentral:rRNA from 1 species
AUAUCGCGACGUAGUUGAUCAGUGCUCAGGAGACGCUGGCGGCGUGCCUAACACGUGCAAGUUCGAACGGACGAGGGGGAAGCUUGCUCCCUGAGUUAGUGGCGAACGGGUGAGUAACGCGUGAGAAACCUGCCUUUCAGUGGGGGACAACAGUUGGAAACGACUGCUAAUACCGCAUAAUGUAUCCGGAGGGCAUCCUCUGGAUACCAAAGCUUAAUGUGCUGAAAGAUGGUCUCGCGUCUGAUUAGCUAGAUGGCGGGGUAACGGCCCACCAUGGCGACGAUCAGUAGCCGGUCUGAGAGGAUGAACGGCCACAUUGGGACUGAGAUACGGCCCAGACUCCUACGGGAGGCAGCAGGUGGGGAAUAUUGGGCAAUGGGGGAAACCCUGACCCAGCAACGCCGCGUGAGGGAAGAAGGUUUUCGGAUUGUAAACCUCUGUCCUUGGUGACGAAGGAAGUGACGGUAGCCAAGGAGGAAGCCCCGGCUAACUACGUG